rnacentral:rRNA from 1 species
UACGGGGGGGGCAAGCGUUAUUCGGAAUCACUGGGCUUAAAGCGCGUGUAGGCGGGGCGGCACGUCGGUCGCUGAAAGCCCCCGGCUCAACCGGGGAACGGGCGCCGAUACGACCGCCCUGGGAGGGAGCGUAGGGGGGCCUGGAACUUCCGGUGGAGCGGUGAAAUGCGGUUGAGAUCGGAAGGGAACGCCCGUGGCGAAAGCGGCGUGCUGG